rnacentral:tRNA from 1 species
GGAAGCGCUUCGGCGUUACCUGAACGUCAAAACCCACGUCGGACGUGGAGCAUACGACCUGGUUUUAGGGACCGAGCAGCACGCCGAGACGGCGACUGCCGGGCCAGUAGCUCAGGUGGUUAGAGCGCACGCCUGAUAAGCGUGAGGUCGGCAGUUCAAGUCUGCCCUGGCCCACCGCGAUCAGGUGGCAUUUGCAGCACGCGCGAGGAAGCGCGAGCUCUGCUCACCCCGAGUCGCUGAGCGAAGUGGGAGGUCGUUGAUGCGACCCCGCUCGGCCCGACAAAAAGCUUCUACCGGAUGACGUCGAUGUCAUCCGGUCGAUCUCUGACAACUGAAUAGCACAAGUAAAGCGUCCAAAAAACAUACUGUGAGCACCCGAAGUGAGUUCGGCAAUCGAACUUCCGGACGCGAGCUCGAUGCGUGCCUUAGGGGUAC